UUAAGUUAUUCCCGAUUGAUCAGUAUUUUGAAAAACUUUUAAACCAAACUCUUGAAAACUAUUUUCAGGUUGAAUGAAAGGAGGUUUCGAACCUCUA
rnacentral:rRNA from 1 species